AUCCAAAUGGGCUUUGAUGAUGUAGUUUCUUGAGGAAGUUUAUUUCAGUGUGAAUUUGUGGGUGCGAAGGUCCAAAUACACUUUUGAUAAUAUAGAUAUUAGGGUGGAUUUUGAAAUCUCGAUACUAUAAAAAUUAACUCGCAGUUAAAGUCACCAAGUUACCGUUAGGGCAAAUAAAAAAAAGAGAGAAAAUAAUAGAAUUUAAUUUAUGACCGUUGGAGACAAGACGAUCAAAUCUCCAGCCUCGCCUAUAAAUAAAGACCUCCUCUCUUACAGAACCUUACACUUGUCUUCUUCCUCUCUUACAGAACCUUUAUGUUUGUCUUCAUUCUUUUUUGUUUUUGUCUUGCAAGAGCGAUUUUCUUUGGUGUUUUUUCACCUUUUCACGGAUGAUUGUUGAUUGAUCUCUGCCAUGUCUCUACGAGCUACAACGUCUUCAAGGUGUUGAUCGUUCUUCACGCGGUUUAUCAGGUCUUCUCUUUUCUUAUUUUACAAACUUGUUUUUCUUUCUACCGAACAUGUUUUCUCUGUAUUGAUUUUUUUCUCAAAUUGUUUUUUUUUUUGGGUCAAAAUUCUCAAAUUGUUUUUUAAAAACAUGUUUUCAAGGUUUUUAGGGAAAUUUUAUAUAACUUGAUUGAUCAGUGAAGAGUUAAGUGUGAAUUUGUGAAAUAAAUAGAGUGGGCUAUCCGAUCACUAUAUAUGAUUGGUUAGAGGUAUUAUCCUUUCUCCAGUCAUUGUGUUUGUAAGCUGGUAGUAUCCCUUUAUUUGGUUUAACACUUAUGAUCACUAAAUUCUUCUAAUCAAUUCUAGAAACUAUAAAAUUUUCCUUUUUCUAAAAUACGUUUUCAAGGUUUUAGGGAAAUUUUUUAUAGAGCUUGAUUGAUCAUGGAAAGUUAGUGUAAAUUUGUGAAAUAAAUAGAGUGGGCUAUCCGAUCACUAUAUAUGAUUGGUUAGAGGUAUUAUCCUUUCUCCAGUCAUUGUGUUUGUAAGCUGGUAGUAUCCCUUUAUUUGGUUUAACACUUAUGAUCACUAAUUUUUUCAUAAUUGAUUAAAGUUAUUAUAAAAAGUUUCCCUUGUUUUCAGUUCUUUCUUUGAUUUCUUUCUUUUAUUUUGUCUUUUGUUUGUUCCAUAUGAUCGACUUGUCGUUUUGUUGUUUCAGGAUUCCGGUGGAUGCAUGCUUGCUUUGAUUGAUGAUGAUGGCUGUUUUGGUGUUUGGUCCUUCUCUGUUGGCGGUUUGUCAGUUCAGAUAAAACCAAGUGUUGAAAGCUUCUGCUGGCGAGAGAAGGUUUCAAGCUGAGUUGGAUUAGCCUUGGCACAUGAGUUGUUUGUUAUCCUCAUCUUCUUGAGCGAUUGGGAAAACAGAGAGAGAGAGAGAUUAGGAGAUUGAGAGAAUAGAUAAUAUAGAGGAACCGGUUGAGUUGUAAUUUGUGUCUUGUACAAGUUGUAACCUUACAAAAGUUAUUAGUUUUAUCGAAAACAGAUAGAGAUAUAUAUACAGAGUUUGUGCAUUUGCCACUUAAAGAAAAAUGAUAUAAACUUAGGCUU